GGCCCAGUGGUCUAGGGGUAUGAUACUCGCUUUGGGUGCGAGUGGUCCCGGGUUCGAAUUCCGGCUGGGCCC
rnacentral:tRNA from 1 species